rnacentral:rRNA from 1 species
UUUUUAUCCCAUACCACGUUGGAAGCACCUGUUCUCGUCUGAUCACCCAAGUUAAGCCACAUUGGGCCUGGAUAGAACC